rnacentral:rRNA from 1 species
AGAUUGAACGCUGGCGGCAUGCCUUACACAUGCAAGUCGAACGCGAAAGCGGGGCAACCCGCAAGUAGAGUGGCGAACGGGUGAGUAAUACAUCGGAACAUUUCCAGUAGCGGGGGAUAACCUGUCGAAAGAUAGGCUAAUACCGCAUACGACCUAAGGGUGAAAGCGGAGGACCGCAAGGCUUCGCACUAUUGGAGUGCCGAUGUCGGAUUAGCUAGUUGGCGGGGUAACAGCCCACCAAGGCUACGAUCCGUAGCUGGUCUGAGAGGACGAUCAGCACACUGGAACUGAGACACGGUCCAAGACCUACCGUACGGGACGG